rnacentral:rRNA from 1 species
AUGAACGCUGGCGGCGUGCCUAAUACAUGCAAGUCGAGCGAACAGACGAGGAGCUUGCUCCUCUGACGUUAGCGGCGGACGGGUGAGUAACACGUGGAUAACCUACCUAUAAGACUGGGAUAACUUCGGGAAACCGGAGCUAAUACCGGAUAAUAUAUUGAACCGCAUGGUUCAAUAGUGAAAGACGGUUUUGCUGUCACUUAUAGAUGGAUCCGCGCCGCAUUAGCUAGUUGGUAAGGUAACGGCUUACCAAGGCAACGAUGCGUAGCCGACCUGAGAGGGUGAUCGGCCACACUGGAACUGAGACACGGUCCAGACUCCUACGGGAGGCAGCAGUAGGGAAUCUUCCGCAAUGGGCGAAAGCCUGACGGAGCAACGCCACGUGAGUGAUGAAGGUCUUCGGAUCGUAAAACUCUGUUAUUAGGGAAGAACAAAUGUGUAAGUAACUAUGCACGUCUUGACGGUACCUAAUCAGAAAGCCACGGCUAACUACGUG